rnacentral:rRNA from 1 species
AGAGUUUGAUUCUGGCUCAGAUUGAACGCUGGCGGCAUGCUUUACACAUGCAAGUCGAACGGCAGCACGGGUGCUUGCACCUGGUGGCGAGUGGCGAACGGGUGAGUAAUGCACCGGAACGUACCCAGUAAUGGGGGAUAACACAUCGAAAGAUGUGCUAAUACCGCAUACGCCCUGAGGGGGAAAGCGGGGGAUCGUAAGACCUCGCGUUAUUGGAGCGGCCGAUGCCGGAUUAGCUAGUUGGUGAGGUAAGAGCUCACCAAGGCGACGAUCCGUAGCUGGUCUGAGAGGACGACCAGCCACACUGGGACUGAGACACGGCCCAGACUCCUACGGGAGGCAGCAGUGGGGAAUUUUGGACAAUGGGCGCAAGCCUGAUCCAGCCAUGCCGCGUGAGUGAAGAAGGCCUUCGGGUUGUAAAGCUCUUUCGCAAGGAAAGAAAACUUAUCUACUAA